AGCGAACGCUGGCGGCAGGCCUAACACAUGCAAGUCGAACGAACCUUUCGGGGUUAGUGGCGGACGGGUGAGUAACACGUGGGAACGUGCCUUUAGGUUCGGAAUAACUCAGGGAAACUUGUGCUAAUACCGAAUGUGCCCUUCGGGGGAAAGAUUAAUCGCCUUUAGAGCGGCCCGCGUCUGAUUAGCUAGUUGGUUGAGGUAAUGGCUCACCAAGGCGACGAUCAGUAGCUGGUCUGAGAGGAUGAUCAGCCACAUUGGGACUGAGACGCGGCCCAAACUCCUACGGGAGGCAGCAGUGGGGAAUCUUGCGCAAUGGGCGAAAGCCUGACGCAGCCAUGCCGCGUGAAUGAUGAAGGUCUUAGGAUUGUAAAAUUCUUUCACCGGGGACGAUAAUGACGGUACCCGGAGAAGAAGCCCCGGCUAACUUCGUG
rnacentral:rRNA from 1 species